rnacentral:tRNA from 1 species
GCGGGAGUGGUGGAAUGGCAGACACGCAGGAUUUAGGUUCCUGUGCCGAAAGGCGUGUGGGUUCAAGUCCCACCUUCCGCAC